AAUCUUGCGCAAUGGGCGAAAGCCUGACGCAGCCAUGCCGCGUGAAUGAUGAAGGUCUUAGGAUUGUAAAAUUCUUUCACCGGGGACGAUAAUGACGGUACCCGGAGAAGACGCCCCGGCUAACUUCGUCCCAGCAGCCGCGGUAAUACGAAGGGGGCUAGCGUUGCUCGGAAUUACUGGGCGUAAAGGACGCGUAGGCGGAUCGUUAAGUCAGGGGUGAAAUCCCGGGGCUCAACCUCGGAACGGCCCUUGAUACUGGCGAUCUUGAGUAAGAGAGAGGUAUGUGGAACUCCGAGUGUAGAGGUGAAAUUCGUAGAUAUUCGGAAGAACACAAGUGGCGAAGGCGACAUACUGGCUCAUUACUGACGCUGAGGCGCGAAAGCGUGGGGAGCAAACA
rnacentral:rRNA from 1 species